rnacentral:lncRNA from 1 species
GUUUUUUCCUGUUCUUUGCACAUUUUCUUGUGUGUUCCCUUUAUCUUCUUAUUUUGAUCACUGAUUUUAAUGUUACAGGCUCUUCCCAAAUGAGUGCUGGGGAUUUAGUUGUCUGUUCUUACUUAAGAGUAAGACAAUAAAAAAUGGACUGCAAUUUUGUUACCUGAUUGGCUUCACUCUAAGGUCUUUGAGCAGAGGCCUUACUAGCCAUUUCAGUGGGUAAUUAUCACGUAUCAAAAUCGGCAGACUUUUUUCCUUGGACCUUUCAGUUUCUCCAAAAAGGAAUUUUUUGUUUACCUUUUUUGUAGGGUAUAAGCCUACCUGUGAGGAUUUGGGGCACCACAGAGGCGUGAGGAGGAAGGGAGCCAGAGGUUUCACCAUCCAAGCCUGAGAAUGCUUAGAUCCAGUGCUUUUGUUUCAGCCUUAUAUGGAGUCUAGGAUUGAAGUCUUGCUGUAUCAUUUUCUCCAGAGGGUAAACUGCCCCUUCUUACAGGAGUAGGGAUGGUUUGUUUGGCUCUACCAGGCACACCACUGAGUUCUUUGGGAUGCCGAAAAGUGUAUGGUUUGGAAACAUGAAAUAGAAGACGAGACCCUGACUCAGCAAGUAUACCUGAGAAUACUUUUAGAGGAACCUGUCGAUAAAUGCAAAACAGCAGCUGUUGGAGGUGAUGGAACUGUACUGGAACAAUGGGAGAAGCUGGUAGCUUAUAGGAAGCCAAGAUGACAAGAAUGUUUUUAAAUAAUCCGUAAGUUAAUGUUUGUUGGCCUUUUGGAAUUCUUUUAACUACUGGGUAAAUUUUCUUUAAGGAACCAUGGUAAAAGGAUAGCAUAGUCAAAUAACUUGAGU